rnacentral:rRNA from 1 species
CAUAGCCGCGGUAAUACGUAGGGGGCGAGCGUUAUUCGGAAUUACUGGGCGUAAAGAGUAUGUAGGUGGUUAAGUAAGCGUAGGGUUUAAGGCGACGGCCCAACUGUCGUAUGCCCCGCGAACUGUUUAACUUGAGUACAGGAGGGGAAGGCGGAAUUCCUAGUGUAGCGGUGAAAUGCGUAGAUAUUAGGAGGAACACCAGUGGCGAAGGCGGCCUUCUGGACUGUAACUGACACUGAGAUACGAAAGCGUGGGUAGCAAACAGGAUUAGAUACCCGUGUAGUCCCUGUCUCUUAUACAA